CCAAGGCAGGCAUUUGCCUAGGGUGAGAAGCUGCCAGGUCAGUGCUAUGCUGGGCAGGACAGCCCCAUGGUUGUGGUCUCCUCUUCCCAUGUGACAUUAUCGAGUGAACUAAGACUGCCAAAUAUUUUCAGCACGUUCUUUAUCUAAAGGUAUUUCCUUUCAUAAUUAGGAAUUGCAGCAGAAACAAGGAUUUGGCCAGCAGCACUUCCUGCUCAAAGCUAAAUGGAGAAGGAGAUCCUAAAAGGAGAAUAUCAUCUGUAUCCUUCCAGUUCAGAGCACUUUAAUGGCCAGUAGUGACAAAGGGAAUUAAUAGAGCGUGGGUCUGAAAGCUAUUGUCUUUUUAAUAUUGGGAGUGCAUAUCUGUAGAAUAACAAAAACCAUCAUGAUAUAAUGUUAAUUUCUCCAGCGCAUUAAGAAAGUACUGUGUUUGGUUUUAAAAAACUUGUGCAGUAUGGAGUUACCAGAGAGUUAACUAUAAUGGGUUAAAAAAAGGUUCUUUCACUGAUAUCUCAUCACUGAUUCACAUAUCGAUCACUGGAGAUCAUCAACAAGCAUGGCCACUUUAUCAGAAAUGCCAGAAGGUUGGCAUCUUUUUGCUACAGUUCGGUUUAUCAGUGAACUAGACAAUGACCUAAAACUUCUGCUGGCAAAAGCUGUGGAAGAAAUGGGAACAGGGAGGUAGUGGAGAGGGAGAAAGAUGGGUUACUGUUACGCAAAGCUGCCUUGCCUGGCCACAGUCCCAUGGCACCCACUGGCAGGUAGCUAAAUUCCAACUUAUGCAACACCAGAGGCAGACAUACGGACUGUCUUGGCAAGCAAGAAUUCAGAGACAGAUUUAAGUGUAAUCAUAGAUGAUCACUUCAGCAUAAGCUGCCAGUCAGGUGGCAGCCAAAAAGGAUGAUUACACAACUCUUCGUGUACAAAAUGAAGCUACCAGGAAGAAAUGGGGCAAGGAUGGAUCCCUUUUCAUGUUUGUGAAAGAUCACAGCACAUGAAAGAUCACUGUUAGAAUGUCUUUAGUCUUUAUAGAAAUUUCCUUCUAUUAUAGAAUAUUUAUGAAUCUAUAUGCACCCAUCUCUUCAAAUAAUGAGAGAUUUGCAUAUCUGUGUGUGAUAUAUACAUAUAUACAGUUAUACAUCAGUGAUCUCCAUACAGUCUGUAUGCAUAAAAGAAAGAUUCUCUUGUCCCAAAGGACUCUGCUGAAAUAGGUGACUGCUGCCGUAUAAAUAAAACCACAGAAUUUUACCAGAAUGUUGCCAUUUACUACUGAGAAGUUUAUUCUAAUAUAGCAAAGAUAGCAGAAGAACAAGGAUCGGUUUCACAAAUUCCCUGAACUUUCUGAAGCUUGAUUUUCCAAAUAUUCAAGGGCUAUCAAGGCAUAGAAAGGCCAAGUGGUUUGAAGUUGGACAAACUCAACUUUGAAACUGUAAUGGUGGGAAGGAAGUUACUGGGAUGACGUCACGCAAUAUUUCAAGAGGAAGUCAGUUCUCUGAAAGAAUCAACAGGUGUGUGGUAAGGGAGAUCCUAUAGUAUAACUUAUACUUUAAUUCCAAAAGGCAUACCACAAGAUUUCUUACCAGACAUCUUUAAAGGAUCAUAGAAUCACCAAGGUUGGAAAAGACCUCUAAGAUUAUCCAGCUGUCCACCUACCAAUAUUUCCCCACUAAAUCACAUCCCUCAGUACAAUAUCUAAGGUUUCUUGAACACGGUGACUCCUCCACCUCCCUGGACAGCCUGUGCCAGUGCCUCACCAAUCUUUCUGAGAAAUUUUUCCUAAUAUUCAGUUUGAACUCCCCUGGUGCAACUUGAGCCCAUUCCCUCUUGUCCUAUUAAUAGUUAGACAGGAGAAGGGGUCAAACCCUUCCCCCCCCCCCCACCCAAAUCCUCCCUUCAGGUAGUUGUAGAGAGCAAUAAGGUGUCUCCUGAGCACACUCCAGACUAAAUAAUCCUAGUUCCCUCAGCCCCUCAGACCUGUGAUCCAGACCCCUCACCAGCUUUUUUGCCCUUCUUUGAACACGUUACAGGGCUUUCAUGUACUGAGGGGCCCAAAACUAAGAAGCUAAGAAGUUUUGUAAAAUGAGGGGAGGUCUGUGGAUCCAAAGAUAGGAAAUAGAAUAGAAAAAGUACUCAGCUUUCACAGACAGAAGCGGAGUUUCUUAAUGAUCUGUGCUGUAACUCAUGGUGCUCUACAUGUUAUGAAACAGUCUGGAGAAGGAUGAGUAAGUAGGAGAUGCUGGAGUUGCUGAGUUAUUUGAGGUAAUAAAGAUGUGUACCAAUUGGGAAAAAUUGCAAAAGGAUCUUAUGAAAUGUUGUGACUGCAAAUUAAAUUUGGAAAUGAAAUCCACUGUAGAUAAACAUAAACUGAUGGGCAUAAGACAUAAUCCUACUUUACAUAUGAAAUGAUACAUUGUGAGUCAUCUACUACCAGUUAAACACAAAAUCCUGGAGUUAAAAAUAUGGUGUUAUUAAAAUGUCAGUACAGAGCUAACGAGCACUAAAAACAAGCAAACAAACAAACAAACAAAAACCUGAGCAAUUCAAGUGCUACAAAAAAGCAGAGACCGUAACACUGAACUUAAAGCCACUUGGAUUUCUGUCAGAAAUGGUUUAGAGAGAGACAAGAAAAAUACAGAGCAGUGAAGAGCUUCGUACAAAGAAUAACUAUGUGAGUUGGGACACUUCAGCCUGGAGUGGGACUACAGCACAGAUCUAUAUAUGCCUGGAUGGUGCGGAUGGGUGAAACGUCCUUUCCUUUUCCAAAGGGAAGAAUUAGAUGGCACAAGAAAGUAGCAGUUGGCAGAUUCAGAACAAACAAAAGUACCAGCUCUUAACACAGUGUUCAGUUGUGUAAUUAUCAUGGAUUGUUUCAGGUGCUGAAACACAUGGAUUUAAGGAGAGAAAUUCAAAUUCAGAAAAGAAUAGAUCAUUGAUAAGUUACUAAACACAGUGUUUCCUGCGGCUUGGAAAAAAAAUGACCUGCAAACAAGGGGCAGUGGAGAAAUGGAAGAUGGCACUUCAUGUUUCACUGGUGGUAUCAGUAUGAGCACCAUCCUGGCUUUUUUGGUUUGCUGUCUGUGGCUCACACCACUUCAGCUGCUUGAGGCCUGGAGCUCACCAUGGAGGUAGCCACAUGAGCUACAGCAAUCUCUAAUAAGCACAGCUUCAGAUGGCAAGGCAGAAUACCUAGUGUCAGUCUUUCUUAUUUAGAUGAAAGAUUUAUCAAAGAUAGUGUUUUAGGAAAAUGGCACAUGACUGCUUGGUGGAAGUGCAUUUCAUUCUCUUUCCUAAUUCCAGGUGUUUAAGGAGCUAGAGGGAAGUGAAUUAGAGGCUGCCUUAGCCUACACACAUCUCAAUAGCCUUGCCUUUCCUGAAGUAUAACAAUCACCUGAAUGAUCGUCGUUGUGCAUAAUUGAUUGACUGGGGAGGGAAUUAUUAUUUGCAAUCAUAUCACAACCUGCAAAGUCACUUCCAUGCUCUUCUCAUGCUGGUUUACCAUAUACUCAGUGACUGUAUGUGUCAAAGUGCCUUUGGGCUGGAUCCCCUCGUAGCAUGGGAGAAACUAACAAAACUCUUUCCACAUCUUCCCCAGUUCCAUACAGGCUGUACUGAUCAGAGAUGGAACAUGAACAUUCUUUCUUCCACAGGUAGAAGCAAAUGACCACCAAAAAUGCAAUUAUUUUUUGCUCCAGGGAUCAGGAUGGCAGCAGGACACGCAUUUCAUAUAGUGCUGUACUUCCACAGUGGAUACAAGACUCAGCACUGCAACCGCUGAACACUUGAGGACUUUGCCUUGCUAUUCUGCAUGCAGUGCAGCCUCACUGUCUGAUGGGUUCUGCUAUGGGUACAAAGCCUCUGGAGUCUGGCUGAGAUGGAUGUAAACCAGCAAUGAAGUUCUGCUACCGCCCUCCUCCUCGGAAGAUUUGCAGGAGAAGGAAAUACAAGCAUUGCUGGAGAUGUGAUGGCUCUUCCCUCCCGCUCCAGCCACAAGCGGGAUAGAGAAGUUCAGUCCUGAAUUUAGGAAACUUCCAUAAAUUGAAAAGCUUAAAAAAUGUAUUUAAAAAGCAGUUACGAGUACCCAGAUAAAGAGCUGUAAGGAAAUGCUAAAAGUAUGUUACUUGAGAAGAAUUCUAUGGCCUUCACUCCCAAAUCCUUUGAAUUGCUCUGCAUCGUCUUACAGCCGAAACCAGCAAAAAAA